UUGUUACUCCCUCCGUCCAAGAAAGCUUGUCCCAAACUUAUCCCUCAAAUGGAUGUAUCUAGCACUAACUUGGUGCUAGAUACAUCCAUUCGAGGGACAAGCUUUUCCGGACGGAGGGAGUACAAA
rfam:Triticum aestivum genome assembly, contig: Triticum_aestivum_CS42_TGACv1_scaffold_094563_2AL